rnacentral:tRNA from 1 species
GCCUCCGUAGCAUAGUGGCUAGUGCAGUAGACUUGUAAUCUACAGGUCGUGGGUUCGAAUCCCACCGGAGGCU